rnacentral:rRNA from 1 species
ACAUGCCUACAACAUAGCGUUAAUGCACCGGAUCCCAUUAGAAAUCUAUAGUUAAGUGCGCUCAAGCUAGAGUAGUACUAGGAUGGGUGACCACCCGAGAAGUCCUAGUGUUUUACAUGCC